rnacentral:rRNA from 1 species
AUUGAACGCUGGCGGCAUGCCUUACACAUGCAAGUCGAGCGGCAGCACGGGUGCUUGCCCCUGGUGGCGAGUGGCGAACGGGUGAGUAAUACAUCGGAACAUGUCCUGUAGUGGGGGAUAGCCCGGCGAAAGCCGGAUUAAUACCGCAUACGAUCUACGGAUGACAGCGGGGGACCUUCGGGCCUCGCGCUAUAGGGUUGGCCGAUGGCUGAUUAGCUAGUUGGUGGGGUAAAGGCCUACCAAGGCGACGAUCAGUAGCUGGUCUGAGAGGACGACCAGCCACACUGGGACUGAGGCACGGCCCAGACUCCUACGGGAGGCAGCAGUGGGGAAUUUUGGACAAUGGGCGAAAGCCUGAUCCAGCAAUGCCGCGUGUGUGAAGAAGGCCUUCGGGUUGUAAAGCACUUUUGUCCGGAAAGAAAUCCUUGGCUCUAAUACAGUCGGGGGAUGACGGUACCGGAAGAAUAAGCACCGGCUAACUACGUG